CUAUAAAAGGGUGGAGGGAGGAGAGAGAAGAGAGAUCCAGGGUUCUAUAAUCUGUUAAAAUGAAUUAUGGAGUUAUAGAAUGUGCCUAAUAUACAAUGGAGGAAAGCAUAGAAAUAA